CCUACGGGAGGCAGCAGUAGGGAAUCUUCCGCAAUGGGCGAAAGCCUGACGGAGCAACGCCGCGUGAGUGAUGAAGGUCUUCGGAUCGUAAAACUCUGUUAUUAGGGAAGAACAAAUGUGUAAGUAACUAUGCACGUCUUGACGGUACCUAAUCAGAAAGCCACGGCUAACUACGUGCCAGCAGCCGCGGUAAUACGUAGGUGGCAAGCGUUAUCCGGAAUUAUUGGGCGUAAAGCGCGCGUAGGCGGUUUUUUAAGUCUGAUGUAAAAGCCCACGGCUCAACCGUGGAGGGUCAUUGGAAACUGGAAAACUUGAGUGCAGAAGAGGAAAGUGGAAUUCCAUGUGUAGCGGUGAAAUGCGCAGAGAUAUGGAGGAACACCAGUGGCGAGGGCGACUUUCUGGUCUGUAACUGACGCGGAUGUGCGAAAGCGUGGGGAUCAAACAGGAUUAGAUACCCGGGUAGU
rnacentral:rRNA from 1 species